rnacentral:rRNA from 1 species
CUAGUAAUCGUGGAUCAGAAUGCCACGGUGAAUACGUUCCCGGGCCUUGUACACACCGCCCGUCACACCAUGGGAGUGAGUUGCAAAAGAAGUAGGUAGCUUAACCUUCGGGAGGGCGCUUACCACUUUGUGAUUCAUGACUGGGGUGAAGUCGUAACAAGGUAACCGUAGGGGAACCUGCGGUUGGAUCACCUCCUUA